UGGGGAGUAGGCUAACGGUAAACCUUCCGGCUCUGGACCGGACAUUCCUGGUUCGAAUCCAGGCUCCCCAGCCA
rnacentral:tRNA from 1 species